UACGUAGGGGGCUAGCGUUGUCCGGAUUUAUUGGGCGUAAAGAGCGUGUAGGCGGCCAGGUAGGUCCGGUGUGAAAACUCGAGGCUCAACCUCGAGAUGUCAUCGGAAACCAUCUGGCUAGAGUCCGGAAGAGGAGAGUGGAAUUCCUGGUGUAGCGGUGAAAUGCGCAGAUAUCAGGAAGAACACCAAUGGCGAAGGCAGCUCUCUGGGACGGUACUGACGCUGAGACGCGAAAGCGUGGGGAGCGAACAGG
rnacentral:rRNA from 1 species